AACGAACGCUGGCGGCAUGCCUAACACAUGCAAGUCGAACGAGACCUUCGGGUCUAGUGGCGCACGGGUGCGUAACGCGUGGGAACCUGCCCUUAGGUUCGGAAUAACUCCCCGAAAGGGGUGCUAAUACCGGAUAAUGUCUUCGGACCAAAGAUUUAUCGCCUUUGGAUGGGCCCGCGUUGGAUUAGCUAGUUGGUAGGGUAAAAGCCUACCAAGGCGACGAUCCAUAGCUGGUCUGAGAGGAUGAUCAGCCACACUGGGACUGAGACACGGCCCAGACUCCUACGGGAGGCAGCAGGGGGGAAUAUUGGACAAUGGGCGAAAGCCUGAUCCAGCAAUGCCGCGUGAGUGAUGAAGGCCUUAGGGUUGUAAGCUCUUUUACCCGGGAUGAUAAUGACAGUACCGGGAGAAUAAGCUCCGGCUAACUCCGUG
rnacentral:rRNA from 1 species